GGGGACCCGCAAGCGGUGGAGCAUGUGGUUUAAUUCGACGCAACGCGAAGAACCUUACCAGCUCUUGACAUCUUCUGUUCACUCUAGAGAUAGAGCUUCCCCUUCGGGGGCAGAAUGACAGGUGGUGCAUGGUUGUCGUCAGCUCGUGUCGUGAGAUGUUGGGUUAAGUCCCAUAACGAGCGCAACCCUUAUUGUUAGUUGCCAGCAUUCAGUUGGGCACUCUAGCGAGACUGCCGGUGAUAAACCGGAGGAAGGUGGGGAUGACGUCAAAUCAUCAUGCCCCUUAUGAGCUGGGCUACACACGUGCUACAAUGGACGGUACAACGGGUAGCGAGGGCGCGAGCCUUAGCAAAUCCUAAUAAGCCGUUCUCAGUUCGGAUUGUUCUCUGCAACUCGAGAGCAUGAAGCCGGAAUCGCUAGUAAUCGCGGAUCAGAAUGCCGCGGUGAAUACGUUCCCGGGUCUUGUACACACC
rnacentral:rRNA from 1 species